UCUAAGCAAGGGGGUGGGCGGAGGGGCGAACGGGUGAGUAAUACAUCGGAACGUACCCAGGAGUGGGGGAUAACGUAGCGAAAGUUACGCUAAUACCGCAUAUUCUGUGAGCAGGAAAGCAGGGGAUCGCAAGACCUUGCGCUGAUUGAGCGGCCGAUAUCAGAUUAGCUAGUUGGUGGGGUAAAGGCCUACCAAGGCUACGAUCUGUAGCGGGUCUGAGAGGAUGAUCCGCCACACUGGAACUGAGACACGGUCCAGACUCCUACGGGAGGCAGCAGUGGGGAAUUUUGGACAAUGGGGGCAACCCUGAUCCAGCCAUGCCGCGUGAGUGAAGAAGGCCUUCGGGUUGUAAAGCUCUUUCGGCCGGGAAGAAAUCGCAUAGGUUAAUACCCUGUGUGGAUGACGGUACCGGAAUAAGAAGCACCGGCUAACUACGUGCCAGCAGCCGCGGUAAUACGUAGGGUGCGAGCGUUAAUCGGAAUUACUGGGCGUAAAGCGUGCGCAGGCGGUUUCGUAAGACAGAGGUGAAAUCCCCGGGCUCAACCUGGGAACUGCCUUUGUGACUGCGAGGCUAGAGUACGGCAGAGGGGGGUGGAAUUCCACGUGUAGCAGUGAAAUGCGUAGAGAUGUGGAGGAACACCGAUGGCGAAGGCAGCCCCCUGGGCCGAUACUGACGCUCAUGCACGAAAGCGUGGGUAGCAAACAGGAUUAGAUACCCUGGUAGUCCACGCCCUAAACGAUGUCAACUAGGUGUUGGGUGGGUAAAACCAUUUAGUACCGUAGCUAACGCGUGAAGUUGACCGCCUGG
rnacentral:rRNA from 1 species